ensembl:lncRNA
CCACUCAUACUUAAAUACUAUUUUACUGAGUACAUUGCUAUACAUACAGACACAGGUGGUGCUGCUGUACACAUCACUGCUUCGCCUGUCCUUUGUGGCUCCAGCCUUCAUGAGGAGAGAGAAGCCCGGCCAGGUGAGAGUCUGCUCACCUGAAGAGACAGACUCUGAGGAGGUGCAGCUCUGGACCUCUGGAUUGACCGAGUCUCUCAGGGCGGGGCUGGAGUGACCAGGAGGUCUCUGGAGGGACCACUCCUUCUCAUCCAGAGAUCAACCCCCCCGGAGGAGGAGUAGAGAGGGGCUCUGCAGUCCAGGAGGAGGUCUCCUUGGGUUAGCUCUGAUCCCACCACUGCUUCCCUGCAAUAACACCUUUUUGUGCGCGUAUGUGUGUGUGUGUGUGUGUGUGUGUGUGUGUGUGUGU